CCCCUCUCGAGACCGCACCUGGAGAGUUUCCAGUACUCUACCGGUCUCGGCUAUGAGAGGGAGAGUCAAGCAGAGGCCAACCCAUUCCAUUCCUAGCUUGGGCAGGAGCUAGUGAGUGGAAGACAAUCUGCUUCGAGU